rnacentral:rRNA from 1 species
GACGAACGCUGGCGGCGUGCCUAAUACAUGCAAGUCGAACGAGAGCGACCGGUGCUUGCACUGGUCAAUCUAGUGGCGAACGGGUGAGUAACACGUGGGUAACCUGCCCAUCAGAGGGGGAUAACAUCCGGAAACGGAUGCUAAAACCGCAUAGGUCUUCGAGCCGCAUGGCUUGAAGAGGAAAAGAGGCGCAAGCUUCUGCUGAUGGAUGGACCCGCGGUGCAUUAGCUAGAUGGUGAGGUAACGGCUCACCAAGGCCGUGAUGCAUAGCCGACCUGAGAGGGUGAUCGGCCACAUUGGGACUGAGACACGGCCCAAACUCCUACGGGAGGCAGCAGUAGGGAAUCUUCCGCAAUGGACGCAAGUCUGACGGAGCAACGCCGCGUGAGUGAAGAAGGUUUUCGGAUCGUAAAACUCUGUUGUUAGAGAAGAACAAGUGCUAGAGUAACUGUUAGCGCCUUGACGGUAUCUAACCAGAAAGCCACGGCUAACUACGUG